rnacentral:rRNA from 1 species
GACGAACGCUGGCGGCGUGCCUAAUACAUGCAAGUUGAGCGCUGAAGGUUGGUACUUGUCCCAACUGGGUGAGCAGCGAACGGGUGAGUAACGCGUGGGGAAUCUGCCUUUGAGCGGGGGACAACAUGGGGAAACGAAUGCUAAUACCGCAUAAAAACUUUAAACACAAGUUUGAAGUGUGAAAGAUGCAAUUGCAUCACGCAAAGAUGGUCCCGCGGUGUAUUAGCUGGUUGGUGGGGUAAAGGCGCACCCAGGCGAGGUUAGAGCGCCCGACGGAGAGGGGGGGGGGCCAACGUGGGACGGAGACACGGCACAAACGCCUACGGGAGGCAGCCGUAGUGAAUCGUGGGGCAGGGGCGAAAGUCUGAGCGAGAAAGGCCGCGGGAGUGAAGAAGGUUGUCGGGUCGUAAAACUCGGUUGGUGGAGAAGAACGUUGGUGAGAGUGGAAAGCUCAUUAAGUGACGGUAACUACCCAGAAAGGGACGGCUAACUACGUG